rnacentral:rRNA from 1 species
AGAGUUUGAUCCUGGCUCAGAUUGAACGCUGGCGGCAUGCCUUACACAUGCAAGUCGAACGGUAACAGGUCUUCGGACGCUGACGAGUGGCGAACGGGUGAGUAAUACAUCGGAACGUGCCCAGUCGUGGGGGAUAACUACUCGAAAGAGUAGCUAAUACCGCAUACGAUCUGAGGAUGAAAGCGGGGGACCUUCGGGCCUCGCGCGAUUGGAGCGGCCGAUGGCAGAUUAGGUAGUUGGUGGGAUAAAAGCUUACCAAGCCGACGAUCUGUAGCUGGUCUGAGAGGACGACCAGCCACACUGGGACUGAGACACGGCCCAGACUCCUACGGGAGGCAGCAGUGGGGAAUUUUGGACAAUGGGCGAAAGCCUGAUCCAGCAAUGCCGCGUGCAGGAUGAAGGCCUUCGGGUUGUAAACUGCUUUUGUACGGAACGAAAAAGCUCCUUCUAAUACAGGGGGCCCAUGACGGUACCGUAAGAAUAAGCACCGGCUAACUACGUGCCAGCAGCCGCGGUAAUACGUAGGGUGCGAGCGUUAAUCGGAAUUACUGGGCGUAAAGCGUGCGCAGGCGGUUAUGUAAGACAGAUGUGAAAUCCCCGGGCUCAACCUGGGAACUGCAUUUGUGACUGCAUGGCUAGAGUACGGUAGAGGGGGAUGGAAUUCCGCGUGUAGCAGUGAAAUGCGUAGAUAUGCGGAGGAACACCGAUGGCGAAGGCAAUCCCCUGGACCUGUACUGACGCUCAUGCA